rnacentral:rRNA from 1 species
GACGAACGCUGGCGGCGUACCUAAUACAUGCAAGUCGAGCGGACUUUCAAGAAGCUUGCUUUUUGAAAGUUAGCGGCGGACUGGUGAGUAACACGUGGGCAACCUGCCUGUAAGACGGGGAUAACUCCGGGAAACCGGGGCUAAUACCGGAUAAUAUCUUUCUUCGCAUGAAGGAAGGUUGAAAGGCGGCGCAAGCUGCCGCUUGCAGAUGGGCCCGCGGCGCAUUAGCUAGUUGGUGAGGUAACGGCUCACCAAGGCGACGAUGCGUAGCCGACCUGCGAGGGUGAUCGGCCACACUGGGACUGAGACACGGCCCAGACUCCUACGGGAGGCAGCAGUAGGGAAUCUUCCGCAAUGGACGAAAGUCUGACGGAGCAACGCCGCGUGAGCGAAGAAGGUCUUCGGAUCGUAAAGCUCUGUUGUCAGGGAAGAACAAGUACCGUUCGAAUAGGGCGGUACCUUGACGGUACCUGACCAGAAAGCCACGGCUAACUACGUGCCAGCCGCCGCGGUAA